GUGUUGAAGAAGGAGCAAUAACUCCUGAAAUAUGCAAAUACACUCAUUACCAAUUUUUCUAUCUUCAAUCGCAUUGUUUGAACACACAUUUAAAUAUGAAAUGCCAU